UCCUUGGUAGCUCAGAUGGUAAAGAAUCUGCCUGCAAUGCAGGAGACGCUGGUUCAAUUCCUGGUCAGGAAG
rnacentral:tRNA from 1 species